UACGUAGGGUGCGAGCGUUAAUCGGAAUUACUGGGCGUAAAGCGUGCGCAGGCGGUUUUGUAAGCCAGAUGUGAAAUCCCCGGGCUUAACCUGGGAAUGGCAUUUGGGACUGCAAGGCUCGAGUGCGGCAGAGGAGACUGGAAUUCCUGGUGUAGCAGUGAAAUGCGUAGAUAUCUGGAGGAACACCGGUGGCGAAGGCGGCAUCCUGGACCGGUAGUUGACGCUGAGGCGCGAAAGCCAGGGGAGCAACGGGGAUUAAGAAACC
rnacentral:rRNA from 1 species